CCAAGGUGGAAAUACUAUGGAGACAUAGGUGUUGAUGAACAGCAUAUUUGACCCUGAAUCAGAGGAAGAAUCUGAAAUAGAGGAGCAACCAAUCGCCCAUAGAUUGGAAAUGACUACUUCAGAGUGGUUAUGAAAAGAAGGUUCCUGAGGAGCUGACCUGAAUGACCAUCAUGGCCUCGAUCUGUUGUGCCUAUAUAUUUAUUCUUUGCAAAAUGCAAUGAAUAUUUACAGAGCUGACCAUGGCCGUUUGAGAAUCAGAGGGAUGGAAAGGCAAUGAAGUGACUUGGCCUACAGGUCUUUUGUGAGCAGAUGCUUGGGUUUCCUUAGAAGAAGCAUCCGUGUCAUGAUCCCC